CUGGUGUCCAAUAGCUCCCCACCAUCCCCAGCCUUCUGGCUAGAAAUCUGAGGUAGCCAGAAGGAUCCCCUCUACAAUAUGGGGAGUGGGUUAAUUUUUCAUGUCCUUGCUUUCAAAGACUGUUGGUAUGCAAAGUUUAAUAACAAUUUUUGCAAUUAAACCUUUGGCCAGUGAAAUUUCUUUUUCUUACUUAAGGAAAUGCAUUAGACUUUAGUAUAUCCCAUUCUCCUGAUUUAUUCAAACACCUUGUAUUCCAAGUUGAAUAAAACAAGUAUCUACAUUUUAAUUUAACCCUUCUGCCUGAUUCCAAACCAGACCAUCCCAUAAAAACACUAAACACAACAAUUCCGGCCACAA